CAGGGGAAGGAAAAGAACAUCUGAGGUUCUCUUCUCAGGAGAGAUGAUGCCGGCGUCCAGCAUCCAUUUGCCAGAAUUCAUAAGGCCAUCUUGGCUGGUCCCCGGCAUCAUCCUCCUGUGUAGAGAACCUGGCAUGACAAUUUAUCAAGCAUAAGAUCAAAGAAUAAUGAAAAGGGUACUGAGGUUUUAGCUCAAUGCUCUACUCUGCUGCGUUCUUUGUUCUUUCUUACCUUUUCUUUGGGCAGGUAUGCUGGGAUUGGACUCACAAGCUCAAGGUGGACAAUCAAAUCCAUUAACUCGUGUUUUUCUACCAAACCCUCCACAGGUUAAACUCAGAGGACGAUCUCAAAUGCAUACAUGUGAGCAAGCUGGGAGCCUAGAGGGUUCACUGGAAAAACCACCGAUAGAUUUCCCAGGCAAUCGUAUCUAGUCAUCAAGCCCAUUAUCCAACCCAAAAUGGAAUGGCAUCAAUUUCAUCUUCCUUCUCAACAAGCUUUGGCCCCUGACCAUUGGGUACCCCCCCCCCCCAAUGGCCUGCAACCAAGUAUCGUAGAGAAUAAUGCUGGACAGUAUCAGGUAUCAUGUUCUUAUGAUCAUUGCAGGCUUUUUAUUUAUGAAGUGAAAAGUAGGACUGCUAUGGACCUGUAGUAGCUGCUUAACAUCUUUGCUUUUUAGGCUUUAAUUCAUAGUGAAACUUUUGGCUCUAUUAUUUUUGGCUGUAUUUGGUUGCAGUGCAAACUUAUUUGCAUUAGUACAAAUGCAUGA